UUACGGCUCAGUAACACGUAGACAACCUAACCUAAGGACGGGGAUAACCUCGGGAAACUGAGGGUAAUACCCGAUGGGGAAGAGGUACUGGAAGGUUCUUUUCCCAAAAUGAUUUAUCGCCUUAGGGUGGGUCUGCGGCCGAUUAGCUUGAUGGCGAGGUAACGGCUCACCAUGGCUAUUAUCGGUACGGGCAAUGUGAGUUGGAGCCCGGAGAAGGGGACUGAGACAAGGCCCCUAGCCCUACGGGGUGCAGCAGGAGCGAAAACUUUGCAAUGCGCGAAAGCGUGACAAGGCAACUCCAAGUGAUAGCUCUUAGGAGCUAUCUUUUGUUAAGUCUAGAUAACUUAGCGAAUAAGGACUGGGCAAGACCCGUGCCAGCCGCCGCGGUAAUACGGGCAGUUCAAGUGGUAUCCGUGAAUAUUGGGCUUAAAGCGUCCGUAGCUGGUUUAGACAGUUCCUAGUGAAAGCCUGUGGCUUAACCAUGGGAGGUGCUAGGAAUACUACUAGACUUGGAGGCGGGAGGGGCGAGAGGUACGUUGGGGGUAGCGGUUAAAUGUGUUAAUCCCCAACGGACAACCGGUAGCGAAGGCGUCUCGCCAGAACGCGCUCGACAGUGAGGAACGAAAGCCAGGGGAGCAACCCGGAUUAGAUACCCGGUUAGUCCUGGCUGUAAAUUAUGCGAACUAGGUGUUCCACAACCCUCGUGGUUGCGGGGUGCCGAAGGGAAACCGUUAAGUUCGCCGCCUGGGGAGUAUGGUCGCAAGUCUGAAACUUAAAGGAAUUGGCGGGGGAGCAC
rnacentral:rRNA from 1 species